rnacentral:lncRNA from 1 species
GCUGAUAAAUAGUUAGAGGCCUAUCAGCUACGAUGAUUAGAACCUGAAGUUGUCCGAUAAGUGACUAGCUAGCUAGGAUGAAGAAUCGAAUCAAGUGGCAAUCAUCUCGUGGUGCCCAUCUACGUGCACCUCAUCAAGUUAACUUGCAUCGUUAUCAACAGAAGAGAAUAUAAACUCCAAAUAGCGGGAGAAAAACUCGCAUUUCUAAUAAUUAUGGACACACCACGGCAAAUCUUGUUGCAUGUGGUCUCUCUCAAAAGAAAAAAAAAAAUCCUUUUGCCUGCAAUUGUUUCUUCUUUUUUUUUCCAUUUUCAAUGUAAUAGUACUUCAAGCUGGCCAAAUAUAUCGGGUAUCUAAAUUAUCUUGCUUUGCAACACCUUAUGAAUGUUCAAAUGAGUUUUUUCACUGGUAUUGCCUUCGCCGGUUAGUCUCGUCGAACGUUUCUCCAUCAUUCAUACCUGGGCUGCCAGCCUGCAACGCAUAGAGAUUCCUAGGCUGUCAAGAUUUACAUAUCAUUGGAUCGAGAUGUAUUAUAUUGGCUUUUGGCACAAUUUCAUUCCAUCAA